CAGCCGUAAACUAUGCUCGCUAGGUGUCAGGCAUGGCGCGACCGUGUCUGGUGCCGCAGGGAAGCCGUGAAGCGAGCCACCUGGGAAGUACGGCCGCAAGGCUGAAACUUAAGGAAUUGGCGGGGGAGCACAACAACGGGUGGAGCCUGCGGUUAAUGGAUUCAACGCCGGACAACUCACCGGGGACGACAGCAAUAUGUAGGCCAGGCUGAAGACCUUGCCUGAAUCGCUGAGAGGAGGUGCAUGGCGUAGACGUCU
rnacentral:rRNA from 1 species